UACGUAGGGUGCAAGCGUUGUCCGGAAUCAUUGGGCGUAAAGAGCGUGUAGGCGGUUCGAUCAGUCCGCUGUGAAAGUCCAGGGCUCAACCCUGGGAUGCCGGUGGAUACUGUCGAACUAGAGUCCGGAAGGGGCGAGUGGAAUUCCUGGUGUAGCGGUGAAAUGCGCAGAUAUCAGGAGGAACACCGAUGGCGAAGGCAGCUCGCUGGGACGGUACUGACGCUGAGACGCGAAAGCGUGGGGAGCAAACAGG
rnacentral:rRNA from 1 species